rnacentral:rRNA from 1 species
UACGGAGGGGGCUAGCGUUGUUCGGAAUUACUGGGCGUAAAGCGCACGUAGGCGGCUUUGUAAGUUAGAGGUGAAAGCCCGGGGCUCAACUCCGGAACUGCCUUUAAGACUGCAUCGCUUGAAUCCAGGAGAGGUGAGUGGAAUUCCGAGUGUAGAGGUGAAAUUCGUAGAUAUUCGGAAGAACACCAGUGGCGAAGGCGGCUCACUGGACUGGUAUUGACGCUGAAGAGCGAAAGCGUGGGGAGCAAACAGG